GCCUGGGUGGCUCAGUUGGUUGAGCGUCUGACUUUGGCUCAGGUCAUGAUCUCAUGGCCGGUGAGUUCGAGCCCCACGUCGGGCU
rnacentral:tRNA from 1 species